ACCGGAUGCAAUGAUUUAGGGGGAGCUUGUCACUCACUUAAAAUGUGCAAAUUGACCUUUAUAGGUCUCAUUAUGAACUCCAUUCAUAUUGCACAUAUUAAGGGGGAGCUUCAAAUAAAUCAUUAAACCCAAGAGCUUAAAUUUAUUAUCUUUUGUAAGCUUUAAUCAAGGUUGUCAUCAAUCACCAAAAAGGGGGAGAUUGUAAGUGCAUUAAGCCACUUAAUGUGUUUUGGAUGAUUGAAUGACAACCAUGAUUAAAGGAACUAAUGAUCUUGCUAAGUGUGAAACAAGGAAAAGCUAUCUCAUAGGUAUUUGAUCCAAGUUUACAAAAGCCAAAAUUAUGUAUUGCUGUAUGAAGCUAUCUAGUUCAAGCACAAAACAACAAUGCAAAUGGAAU
rnacentral:lncRNA from 1 species